rnacentral:rRNA from 1 species
UACGGAGGGUGCAAGCGUUAAUCGGAAUUACUGGGCGUAAAGCGCGCGUAGGUGGUUUGGUAAGCGAGAUGUGAAAGCCCCGGGCUUAACCUGGGAACGGCAUUUCGAACUGUCAGACUAGAGUGUGGUAGAGGGUAGUGGAAUUUCCUGUGUAGCGGUGAAAUGCGUAGAUAUAGGAAGGAACAUCAGUGGCGAAGGCGACCACCUUGACUGAUACUGACACUGAGGUGCGAAAGCGUGGGGAGCAAACAGGAUUAGAUACCCCGGUAGUCCCUGA